rnacentral:tRNA from 1 species
GCGACCGUGGUGAAGCGGAUAUCAUUGAGCCCUCCGAAGGCUUAGUCGCAGGUUCGAUUCCUGCCGGUCGCA